rnacentral:ncRNA from 2 species
UUUAUGUUCUAGGGGUGCCUCUUUUGGCUGAGAAGAUAAAAUAUCUAACCCUAAUAACCUGAUCCAGGUAAUACUGGCGUAGGAAAGCAACAUAUAAAAUAA